rnacentral:rRNA from 1 species
ACUGGAGUCCGCCUUGGGGAAUAUUGGACAAUGGGGGAAACCCUGAUCCAGCGACGCCGCGUGAGUGAAGAAGUAUUUCGGUAUGUAAAGCUCUAUCAGCAAGGAAGAAAAUGACGGUACUUGACUAAGAAGCUCCGGCUAAAUACGUGCCAGCAGCCGCGGUAAUACGUAUGGAGCAAGCGUUAUCCGGAUUUACUGGGUGUAAAGGGAGCGUAGGCGGCGAAGCAAGUCUGAAGUGAAAUGCCGGGGCUUAACCCCGGAACUGCUUUGGAAACUGUUUUGCUAGAGUGCAGGAGAGGUAAGCGGAAUUCCUAGUGUAGCGGUGAAAUGCGUAGAUAUUAGGAGGAACACCAGUGGCGAAGGCGGCUUACUGGACUGUAACUGACGUUGAGGCUCGAAAGCGUGGGGAGCAAACAGGAUUAGAUACCCUGGUA